rnacentral:rRNA from 1 species
UACGGAGGGGGUUAGCGUUGUUCGGAAUUACUGGGCGUAAAGCGCGCGUAGGCGGGCAUUUAAGUUAGGGGUGAAAUCCCAGGGCUCAACCUUGGAACUGCCUUUAAUACUGGAUGCCUUGAGUUCGAGAGAGGUGAGCGGAAUUCCGAGUGUAGAGGUGAAAUGCGUAGAUAUGUGGAAGAACACCGGUGGCGAAGGCGAUUUUCUAGAUUAUUCCUGACGCUGAUGCACGAAAGCAAGGGGAUCAAACAGG